rnacentral:lncRNA from 1 species
CAGGUUACACCUGUACUACACCACAUGACUGAGUUACUGUACGGACAGGUAACACCUGUACUACACUACAUGACUGAGUUACUGUACGGACAGGUUACACCUGUACUACACCACAUGACAUAGUUACUGUACGGACAGGUUACACCUGUACUACACCACAUGACUGAGUUACUGUACGGACAGGUUACACCUGUACUACACCACAUGACUGAGUUACUGUACGGACAGGUUACACCUGUACUACACCACAUGACUGAGUUACAGUACGGACAGGUUACACCUGUACUACACCACAUGACUGAGUUACUGUACGGACAGGUAACACCUGUACUACACCACAUGACUGAGUUACUGUACGGACAGGUUACACCUGUACUACACCACAUGACUGAGUUACUGUACGGACAGGUUACACCUGUACUACACCACAUGACUGAGUUACUGCACGGACAGGUUACACCUGUACUACACCACAUGACUGAGUUACUGUACGGACAGGUUACACCUGUACUACACCACAUGACUGAGUUACUGUACGGACAGGUUACACCUGUACUACACCACAUGACUGAGUUACUGUACGGACAGGUUACACCUGUACUACACCACAUGACUGAGUUACUGUACGGACAGGUUACACCUGUACUACACCACAUGACUGAGUUACUGUACGGACAG